GAUGAACGCUAGCGACAGGCUUAACACAUGCAAGUCGAGGGGCAGCACAGGUAGCAAUACCGGGUGGCGACCGGCGCACGGGUGAGUAACGCGUAUGCAACUUACCUAUCAGAGGGGGAUAACCCGGCGAAAGUCGGACUAAUACCGCAUGAAGCAGGGGUCCCGCAUGGGGAUAUUUGCUAAAGAUUCAUCGCUGAUAGAUAGGCAUGCGUUCCAUUAGGCAGUUGGCGGGGUAACGGCCCACCAAACCGACGAUGGAUAGGGGUUCUGAGAGGAAGGUCCCCCACAUUGGUACUGAGACACGGACCAAACGCCUACGGGAGGCAGCAGUGAGGAAUAUUGGUCAAUGGCCGAGAGGCUGAACCAGCCAAGUCGCGUGAGGGAUGAAGGUUCUAUGGAUCGUAAACCUCUUUUAUAAGGGAAUAAAGUGCGGGACGUGUCCCGUUUUGUAUGUACCUUAUGAAUAAGGAUCGGCUAACUCCGUG
rnacentral:rRNA from 1 species